rnacentral:rRNA from 1 species
CCUACGGGAUGCAGCAGUGGGGAAUAUUGGACAAUGGGCGAAAGCCUGAUCCAGCAAUGCCGCGUGCGUGAAGAAGGUCUUCGGAUUGUAAAGCACUUUCGACGGGGACGAUGAUGACGGUACCCGUAGAAGAAGCCCCGGCUAACUUCGUGCCAGCAGCCGCGGUAAUACGAAGGGGGCUAGCGUUGCUCGGAAUGACUGGGCGUAAAGGGCGCGUAGGCGGUUUAUGCAGUCAGAUGUAAAAUCCCCGGGCUUAACCUGGGAACUGCAUUUGAGACGCAUAGACUAGAGGUCGAGAGAGGGUUGUGGAAUUCCCAGUGUAGAGGUGAAAUUCGUAGGUAAUGGGAAGAACACCGGUGGCGAAGGCGGCAACCUGGCUCGAUACUGACGCUGAGGCGCGAAAGCGUGGGGAGCACACAGGAUUAGAUACCCCGGUAGUC